rnacentral:rRNA from 1 species
UACGUAGGGUCCGAGCGUUGUCCGGAAUUACUGGGCGUAAAGCGCGCGCAGGCGGCCCGCGAGGUGUCACGUGAAAGCCCCGGGCUCAACCCGGGAGGGUCGUGGCAAACCGGCGGGCUUGAGGCCGGUAGAGGUGGGUGGAACUCCUGGUGGAGUGGUGAAAUGCGUAGAGAUCAGGAAGAACACCAGUGGCGAAGGCGACUUACUGGACACAUAUUGACGCUGAGGUGCGAAAGCGUGGGGAGCAAACAGG